rnacentral:rRNA from 1 species
UACGUAGGGGGCAAGCGUUGUCCGGAUUUAUUGGGCGUAAAGAGCGUGUAGGCGGCCAGUUAGGUCCGUUGUGAAAACUCGAGGCUCAACCUCGAGACGCCGAUGGAAACCAACUGGCUAGAGUCCGGAAGAGGAGAGUGGAAUUCCCGGUGUAGCGGUGAAAUGCGCAGAUAUCGAGAAGAGCACCCGUGGCUAAGGCGGCUCUCUAGUACGGUACUGACGCUGAGACGCGAAAGCGUGGGGAGCGAACAGG